GCCCUCUUAGCUCAGGGGAUAGAGCAACGGUUUCCUAAACCGUGUGUCGCAGGUUCGAAUCCUGCAGGGGGCA
rnacentral:tRNA from 1 species